rnacentral:lncRNA from 1 species
AUGUGGGUUAUUCCAGGUAGCAUCGGUCCACCUGGUAUUGCUGGACAGAGAGGAGAGAAGGGAGAUGCUGGUAAAGAUGGUCCCCCUGGGCCCCCUGGUCCAACCGGUGAGCCUGGUUUAAGAGGAGAAAUUGGUUUGCCAGGAAAAGGCAAAGAGGGACCAAAGGGUGAUUCAGGACCUCCGGGUCCAUCAGGACCUCCUGGACUGAAGGUAAUGAAACUUCUUUCACAAGUUUUUUCUUGUUAAAAGAAAGAAUCAGACUUCAUCAGCAUGAAAGGUCUUUUUACGCAUUUUUUUUUAUCAUGAGCAGGUGUGUGUUUCCCCAGGGGCAAAAGCUGAAUUACUGCAUUUCAUUUAUGUGAUGAUUUUACUGAACUUUCAGCGAGCCAGACAAGUUUUCCUUGGGAAAAGUACCAGAUAUGCAUUUUGCUACUGUACUUUAGCAAUCAGUGUUAAAUAUUGUGCGUAAGGCUUAACAAAUCCUGGAUACACACUCCUUUUCAAAAGUUUAGGGUCUGUUAAAAAUGUUUCAAACUAAUUAGUUCUAUUCAACAAGGAUGCGUUAAAUUGAUCAAAAGUGACAGUAAAAAUAUUUAUAAUGUUAUAAAAGAUUUCUAUUUGAAAUAAAAGUUGAUCUUUUAAACAUUAUUUUCAUACAAAAAAGAAAAAAAAGUGUCAUGUUUACCGACAAAAAUAUUAAGCAGCACAAUUGUUUUCAAUGAUGCCAAUAAUAAAACCAAAUCAACAUACUAGAAUGAUUUCUGCAAAAAGAAAAAAAAAGUGUCAUGUUUCCGACAAAAAUAUUAAGCAGCACAAUUGUUUUCAAUGAUGCCAAUAAUAAAACCAAAUCAACAUACUAGAAUGAUUUCUGAAGGAUCAUGUGAUACUGAAGACUGGACUUAUGGCUUCUGAAAAUUCAGCUUUGUCAUCAUAGGAAUAAAUUACAUUUAUAAUAUAUUUAAACAGAAAACAGCCAUUUUAAAUCAAAUUAGCCGGACCUGCAGGGCCACCAGGACCAGCGGUAAACAAUCUGUUCAUAUUUAUAUCACUUUCAAAUGAGACAGACACUCAGAGAACACUCUUAAGUGUCAUGUCAUGUUUGAUAUUCAGGGUUUGAGAGGACCUCCAGGAGUGAGCGGACCACAGGGACCCACUGGACACAAUGUAAGAAUUUAUAUACUACACCAGUAGUGAAGGGAUAAGAGAAUCAUAGACAUGGGUACAUCAAGUUGUUUUUUUGCAUCAGUACUUUUAAAUGUGUUUGCAGAACUGCACAGCACACAACCAAAGACACACUGACAGCCUGUAAUUAGCUACAUACUAAUGCUAGUCAGGUUGUGGUUAUAAUUCAGGGAGAUUUAAUAUUCUCAUUCUAGAGAACAUUUUAUUGGAUAAAAUGAACAAGAUUUUAAAGAUAUUAAUUAUCUGCUAAAGUUAUUGAUGCUCACUAUUGCAAGCAAUGCUAUUAAUUUUGCUUAUUAAUAGUAAGGGAUUUGUUCUUGUACUACAGAACACUCUAGCAACAUAGACAAAAAAAAAAAAAAAACAAACACCUUAGCACUAAUUUUAUUUUACCUGUACAAUGACGAUGAGGAGCUUAACUUUUCAGUCUCCAGUCAUGAUGCAGAACUAAACCCGUUUCACUGCACUGCUGUGGAUCACAGAGGAGUCAGCAGCAGCAGUCAUGGCGUUACUUGAAUAGUAUAUAGUGUGUGUGUGUGUGUGUGUGUGUAUGUGUGUGUAUCUACCUGCAGGGUUUACCAGGAAGACCUGGAGAGAAGGGCUCCCCUGGAGAACCAGUGAGUGAUAUCUGUUUGCCAUUUAAAUAUCAAAUCAGCUGACAUUGUUAACUCUCUAAAUAUCCAAACAUUAAUCUGUCCAACCAUUCUUCCAUCCAUCAAUCCAUCUGUCUAUCCAAUCACACAAUCAUCCAUUCAUCCAUCUAACUCUCCAUCCAUCCAUCCACCCACCCAUCCAUCCAGUCAUACAAUCAUCCUUUCCAUUCAUCCAUCAAUGUUCCUUCUGUCCAUCCAUUGAACCAACAUCCAUCUAACUGUCCAUCCUUAAAUCCAAACUACCAAUUCUCCAUCCAUCCAUCCAAUCACACAAUCAUCCUUCCAUUCAUCCAGUCAUCCAUUCAUUCAUCAUCAACCCAAACCUUAAUCCAUCCAACAAUAAAAACUUCCAUCCAUUCAUUCAUUCAUCCAUCCUAAUAUUCCUACUUUGCCUUUCUCUCUUUCCCAGGACAUUUGUUCAGAUUGUCCCCCUGGACCAGCUGGACAACCGGGUGU